UACCCUCAUCUCUCCCAAACCGCUGCCACCCACCACCUCGUCCCCAUCCUCCGACCCACCUCGCCGCCGGCCCUCCCCCUCGCCUCCUCCCACCUUGCAGCAUCGGAGGCCGCCGGAUCCGCCAUGUCCCCCAUGCACCAAUCCCUCUCGCGUCCCAUCCCUCUUUCCUCACACGGCUCCUCGUUGCGCCACCGGCGGUGGCUGAUUCAGGCGACGUCCGGCGAGUCCCAUGACUGCGAAGCACAGCUCGAGGUCCCCUCGCACCGCCGAGCUUUCCCAUCCGGCUAGAUCCGGCACUCGCGGCCACCAAAUCCCACCCGUGACCCUCCCCCCAUGGCUAGGGUUUCGGGCGUCGGCUCCGGCGCCGUAGGCCAUCUCGUCCUCAUCUCGUCCAGCAAGGAGGAAUCGCCAGUGGACAACCUUGCUGCUACUUAGGACAAAGCAGCCAUGGAGCUUCCUCCUCCUCUUCCUCCUCUGGCUUCAUAAUUGGAAGUCCAGCGACGACAACUUAAUUAAAGCAGAUGGGGAGCAAUGAGGCUACCGUGCAGUUGUACGGCGGCCUAGUAGGGAGGCAAUUAAACACCCCCCAACUCUGUUCCGGAUCAUUGGCCGUUACUCCUGCCCUGACCCUGGCGAGUAAGCCCUUAUCACAAGAUUUGAUGAUGUGUUAUGUAGCUAGCUAGAGCGUUGAAUUCUUCGUGAAAGCCCAAUGAAUUUUCUUGAUAUAGAUUAGCUGAUGAAGUAAUCGGUUAGGUAUAUGUGUUUCUAUGAGCACCGUUGUUGACCCCGUUAUUUCCUGUAUGGAGUGGAGAAGAGUCACGCGGGAGUGGACUUCAGGGCCUCUAAUGGCAAUACGAAAUCCUGCUUUCAGGUUGUAUUUCCUAUGUCAAUAACUGAAACACCAGCCACCAAGUUGACUAUUGAUAUUAAUAGCUCAAUUUACAGCUGAUUUUUGAUCUCAGUCCAUGCUCGUCAAAGUAAUUAAUUAGUUGAUUUUUGCAUAUACAGGAUUUAAGAACUUUACAUCAUUUUGUAUGUACACCCACCAGAACUCCAGUUAACUUCCUGGUAUAUUUUAUAUAUCUUCUGAGUUUCAGCAUUAAGAUAAGCAAUGAUGCUGAGACAUUACAUAAUUUUCUAUAAUGUCAUGUUUAGCAUAUCAGCUUCCCAUCUUUCUUGAAAUAAUGUGUAACGUUGUGCAUAACUUUUACUUGGUUUAUUUGAUAGUUAGAAUACAAUCCUACUGACGAUGCAAAAGUUAUGCUAAUAGCAAGGAGUACUUGAUUUGUACAGGUUCAUGUUUACAUCAUAGAUUGAUCGAUGAGGUUUCAAUAUAAAACGAAACAUUCCUAUACAAUCAUUAGUAUGGGAGCAAUAUUCUAAACAUUUUUAUGUAACAACAUGUAUAUCGUUCCUCUACAGUUUCAUUAUUUGGAUUUCAGAGCCGUGGCUUGCAGAAAACAUAAUAAGGUAAUUAAGCUACUUUUCAGAAUAUGCUGGAUUGGAUAAAUGCUGAGUAAUGAUGUGUGGUCCCGAAGCAGCCCUUAAUUUUGUUCCAAAAUUGGCGUAUUUUCCACCCUUUUCAUGUUCUGAAACAAUAAAAGAUGCGUGUGGGCUUUUUGAAUUACGUUAGCUGUAUGUCUUAUGCAAAUUGUACACACUCCAAUUAAAGAGUUGUUGUGAUUAGUCAUGGUCAGUGUGUAUAUACCGUUCUGUGUGAAACGUAUGUAGCUUUAGAGAAACUAUAAGCAUGUCUCCAUCAUUUCUUAACAAUUUCAUAUUUAGGUUCUUCUGGCUGUCUAUAUAUACUGCAUAAACAAUGACUUUGUCUGGACUAAUUUAUUUUUACACAAACACGAAUUACCAUCGUAACCAGAUUGAUGUGUUUACCACAAAUGAUGUCUAACUAAUAAUGUUUAAAUUAUGUUUCUAUUUGUACUCUGUUAUAUUUUACUCAUGCUUGGACUAGGAUCUCAUGAGGAAGUGGGAGAAGGAACGACAACAAUUGGUGUAGGUUCGUGUUGCUCCAACAAAUUUCACACCACAUGCCGUACAAAAUGUGCAUCUUUGUCCCAUUUGAUAUGUUCAACAUUGGAAGCAAUCAGAGCAAAUGUUAACAAGUAUGCAAUGAUUUCUGCCAUACACUAAGGCGCCCAUAUUAGCCUCAUAUAGUUUAAGUAUGUAACCUGAACCCCUCAACACUUGAGGUAAGUUAUGAAUCCAUUUCCAUCUAUAUAUGCUAGUAAUUUGUUAUGUAACACAAAGAUUGCAUGCCCUUCCACAUUUGUACGUGAGUAGUAACCUGCCUUUACCACUACUUGCAUCAUUUCAAUUCAUUGUGUUAACAAUUCAUUUUGUUUUUUCUUUGUAGAUUCAGAAGAUAUGGAUGAUUAGAUGGGUGUGUGACAAGUAUGCUGCAAUGAUGAUGAUGUUCCGGUUCAUGAUGAUGCAGAUUGAUGCUUUUAGUUUUAGUUAAGUUGUAGGGAUGUUGAUCCUGUUGGGUGAUGUUCCUCUGUUAAGUUUUACAUAAGUUGUAGGGAUGUCAGGAAAAUAUUUAGGUUAUGCAUCACAUUGGGAUGAUGUUCCUCCUGUAAUAUCUGCAAUUGUAAUCCAACAUUUUUAUCCAAUAUAUGAUUUCUUCCUCUU